rnacentral:lncRNA from 1 species
AAUCAGUGGAAGAGGAUGGAAUCCCAGCAGGAAAGGAAAUAGAUAUGUCUCAUUCCAAACUAUAGCAUUUUUCCAGGAAGGAGGAUCAGGAAGGUGUGAGCAAAGAGAGCCCAGCUUUCUUUCUGGAUUGGUGUCAAUUGGCUCUGAUAAUGUUCCUCACUUCUGCCUCUCCAUAUCCUGCACCAGCUGUCCUCCUUGCCUAGAGAGCUCUCUGGCUUCACCUCUGCUCAUAGCAUCCUUAGUUUCCUUCAAAAUGCCACUCAAGUUCCACAUUCUUCAUGAUGACUUUCUUGAUCAUUCUCCUCAGUUAUCAGAAUGUCCCUCUGUCUCCUUCCUCCAUUGCAUUGUAUUGAUUUCAUACAUAUUUUCUAUAAACCUGUGUAUGC